AAGAAAGGUGGCAGAAAAGUGCCCCAGAUUUAAGCCCUGACCAUGAAGUUUUACUUCCCUUCCUA
rnacentral:tRNA from 1 species